AAAUUGAAGAGUUUGAUCAUGGCUCAGAUUGAACGCUGGCGGCAGGCCUAACACAUGCAAGUCGAACGGUAACAGGAAGAA
rnacentral:rRNA from 1 species